UUCUUACGGGGGGCAGCAGUGAGGAAUAUCGGUCAAUGGCCGGAAGGCUGAACCAGCCAAGCCGCGUGAAGGACGAAGGUGCCAAGCAUUGUAAACUUCUUUUGUCAAGGGACAAAAUCAGGCUCGAGAGCCUGACCGAGGGUACUUGAAGAAAAAGCAUCGGCUAACUACGUGCCAGCAGCCGCGGUAAUACGUAGGUGGCAAGCGUUAUCCGGAUUUAUUGGGCGUAAAGGGAACGCAGGCGGUCUUUUAAGUCUGAUGUGAAAGCCUUGGGCUUAACCGGAGUAGCGCAUUGGAAACUGGGG
rnacentral:rRNA from 1 species